AUGACCCUUCUCAACUACCCUCUCCCAGACUUGGAUGUCACCUUGCAAGAAGUGAGCCGUGUCCUGCAGCUCACUUUAGGUCCUAACCUUUACCCAGAGUUCAAAAGUACGUUGGAACAGCAGAGGGAUCUGCUUGAAGAGGCCCAGGACAAGUUGUCCGCUGGGGCUUCAGGCCAAGAGAAUUGGGUGACUGAUCAGUUCAAGAGAAGUCUGCUGUCUUGCACUGAGCCCCUGCCAACCUCCACUGCCCUCCCUGUUGUUCUUCCUCCGUCAAAAGAAAACAAAUGUACCCAAGUGGGGAGGGCAGCCGCUCUACUUUGGGCAGCGGCAAAGCUGUACAGUGAGCCCCUGCUACUGCAGGGAAACGUGCCCAUGGAGCGCACACAGCAGUCUGAGGUAUUCGCCGCCACCCGGAUUCCUGGAAGGAUUCACGAUGAGAUCAAGGUCUACCCAGACAGCCUCCAUGCCAUCAUCACCUGUGUUGGAGGAGUGUUCCCUGUGGACAUACUGGAGCGUCCCAGCACUGGUGGGCCGGUUUCUGCUCGUCAGUUCAUUGACAUCUACAACCAGCUGGUUCAGGUGAUGGACCAACCCAGUGCAGGAAAACAGAAAGAUCCCUCUGCCAUUUGCAGCCUCUCGGCUCUGGAGCGAAAUGUCUGGGCUGCAACCAGGGAAGAGAUCCUGGAGCAAGGAGGGGAAGUGGUGGCAUCACUUGGGCUGAUGGAGAGUGCCGUGCUGACGCUCGGUCUGGAAGACUGUGAUGCACCGUCUGAUCUGGCUGACAUCCUGAAUGCAGUGAGAGAGGGGGGGAAGAGGAAGAGACGGUCCAUGUCUGAGAUACUAUGACAAGGUAUUUGGAUGCAUCAUGCUGGCUAACUGGGUUCAUUAGCUUAAUGUUGCAUUUAGAUCUCUCAUUUUGGUGCUCUUAGCCAUACUACACAAUUAGGUGAAACAAUUGAAUGUCACUAAUAUUGGACAGCAAUGUAUGAGUGGUAUAAAAAUACAAAACCGACAAUAAUACAUUGUACUGUAAAUCUCAGAAGGAAUGUUAUGAUUUCAAUCCGGAGAGACUUGUUGAAAUUUGAACAAUGCUUUAUUAUAAUAGGCAUAAAUAUUUAUAUUGCAAUCUUGUUUGGGGCUUGGACUCCAUCCUGCUGCAAGAAAGACCAGGGGCCGGGAUGCCGAGCCGAGAUAAGGCAUAUCACACCCUUUGGGAGUCCAGACACUGUUGGUGGUGGCAGAGAAUAAGUUGCUCCAAUCUCCUGAUAUGCCAGGUUCUGCUGUAGACUGGAGGUGUCAGGGGUGGUGGCGGGUCGCCUUUGGUGCAUGCUGAAAUGAUAACUGACAGCAAAAGAGAGGAGAACAGUUUUUAUCAUUUGCAUGCACCAAUGCAAUUGGUUUAGGGUAACGGCACACACAUCUGGUUGGCUGGCACUACCCAACCCCGCCCACAGUCAGCUGGCCGUGCACCCCCCAGAGAGAGAGGAGGCCACCGGGGAACGGCACAGCCUGUCCAGUCUUCCUGACUGAAUUUUCGCCUAAGCUUAAUUUAAUGUAGACUGAUAAGGACCAUAGAGCAAAACAUUGAGAAAUCAGAUUAAUCACGCCUGCCCAUUCGGAUUCAAAGAAUGAUUGAAAAUUUUUAAGCAGAAUUUAUUUAAAUUCUGUGUGUCUAAAAUCUCAAGAAAAAUGGUUCUGAUGAAAUCUUUUUCAUAUUUUCCUUUAAUCAGAUGCUGAACCUGGUGAUGUUCAAGGACGGCGUGGCUGGACUUGUGUUUGAGCACAGCGUCGUGGAUGGGCUGCUAGCAGGAUUCAUAACUGAGAAAUUGUACAAUCUGUCUGAAACUGCAGACUUAAAUGUAGUUGGUACUGACAUACUUGGAAAUAAGUCUGUCAACACCAAAAAAGCCAAUUCUGUUUGUCCAGCUUCCCUGACAUUCCCUUUACCAGGAGUUAAUACACCCAAGAUGACUCCCAACUUAAAAGAAACACAUACAGUCCUCACUUUUGAUAUGUACGCCUAUCCUGAUGUCUUUUCUACUCUGAGAGGGCAGAGAGGCCUCUACGAUGCUUGGAUAAACUUCUCUUUGCAGCUUUCCCUGAGGAAGACUCUUGGUGAAGCUGCUGCCAAGCAUUUGCUUAUCACACCAACCCAUAUGCGUCACUACAAACAUGGCCGUUGUGACCCUACAUACUCCAUCACCAUGCAUUCUCUCAAGUUAGUAGGGGCCUUGGAUGCUUCCAUUGGCCUAGAUAACACAAUCCAAUACACGCCUGAACUCCUACAGUUGUUCCAGGUUGCUUUGUUGGAGCAUAAGAGCCGCAUCAAAAACACCAAAAGUGGUCAAGGAGUUGGUCCCCAUGUAGCAGUCUUGCGUCAAUCCUUGCCAUCUGACAACCCACUGAAGAAGCACUUGGAACCCUUUGGAUGUCCAUCUGUGUACCUCACAGGUACAGAUCUGAUGGAGGGUGUAGAAUGUGGAGUAGGGAAUGUUUAUGCCAAAGAUCAGCUGGCUGUGACCUACCUUGGGAAGAGAGACAAGGUUCGCAUUGUUCUCAAUGGGAA
ensembl:lncRNA